rnacentral:rRNA from 1 species
GACGAACGCUGGCGGCGUGCCUAAUACAUGCAAGUAGAACGCUGAAGAGAGGAGCUUGCUCUUCUUGGAUGAGUUGCGAACGGGUGAGUAACGCGUAGGUAACCUGCCUUGUAGCGGGGGAUAACUAUUGGAAACGAUAGCUAAUACCGCAUAACAAUGGAUGACACAUGUCAUUUAUUUGAAAGGGGCAAUUGCUCCACUACAAGAUGGACCUGCGUUGUAUUAGCUAGUAGGUGAGGUAACGGCUCACCUAGGCGACGAUACAUAGCCGACCUGAGAGGGUGAUCGGCCACACUGGGACUGAGACACGGCCCAGACUCCUACGGGAGGCAGCAGUAGGGAAUCUUCGGCAAUGGGGGCAACCCUGACCGAGCAACGCCGCGUGAGUGAAGAAGGUUUUCGGAUCGUAAAGCUCUGUUGUAAGUCAAGAACGAGUGUGAGAGUGGAAAAUUCACACUGUGACG